UACGAAGGGGGCUAGCGUUGCUCGGAAUUACUGGGCGUAAAGGGCGCGUAGGCGGACGUUUAAGUCGGGGGUGAAAUCCUGGAGCUCAACUCCAGAACUGCCUUCGAUACUGACGAUCUCGAGUCCGGGAGAGGUGAGUGGAACUCCGAGUGUAGAGGUGAAAUUCGUAGAUAUUCGGAAGAACACCAGUGGCGAAGGCGGCUCACUGGCCCGGUACUGACGCUGAGGUGCGAAAGCGUGGGGAGCAAACAGG
rnacentral:rRNA from 1 species